AACGCGUAGGUAAUCUACCCUUUGGCGGGGGACAACACUCCGAAAGGAAUGCUAAUACCGCGUAAGACCACACUCACCACGGUGAGAGCGGUUAAAGGUGCCUCAAAGCACCACCAGAGGAUGAGCCUGCGUCCCAUCAGCUUGUUGGUAAGGUAAUGGCUUACCAAGGCGAAGACGGGUAGCUGGUCUGAGAGGAUGAUCAGCCACACUGGCACUGGAACACGGGCCAG
rnacentral:rRNA from 1 species